GGCAAACUCACCUUCCAUACUAUCCAUUGUCCCCAGGCAGCUAAGCUGGACAAGCCUGUGAGAACUGUGCCAAUGGCUCGUGAUGAUAACACAACUUGUAGGGUGUUCGUGGUUCCUUUCCUAGAGAGCAUCUGCUGCGUGCCUGGAGUUGCUACCCACCUUGGACUUGCUUCUACUGUGAAGCCCAGAAAAUGAGGGAGAGCAGGUUUGAGGGAGUUCUUAACUAGGAGAAUGGUAGCUCCAUGUAGAGCCUCUGGUGAACAUGGACGGGCACUCUAUCCCAUGUGUGUGCUUCCAUGGCCCCCCUCAAAGGCACAGGGCUUUGUUCCUCAUGGAUCUGUGGAGUCUAGGCCCACAUAGCAAAUGUGGGGUUCUUGAAACACAAGUGUGGAAAACCUCUCCCUGUUCCCCUCCCUUCCUUUCUUCCUCUAUCUUUUCUUUCUUUCCCUCCCUCUUUUCCUCUCCUUCCUUUUCCCUCCUUUCCUUCUUCCCUCCCUUCUUUCAACUCUCCAUUUCUUCUUUCUUCCUUCUUUUUUCCUCUUCCCCUUCUCUUCUGCACUUGAAUCUGUUCUCUGCUGGAAGCCAUGCACAGGUGCACAUUGGAGGCAGAUGAUGAGGACUCGGUUCUUUGGUGGCAGAGGAAGGAACAACACGGCCACUUAGGCUUAGUGGGGGAGAUCUCUAAUCUCAUUGAUUUUUCCCCCUGGUAUUCAGUAGAAUAUUAUAGCUGAGACAAUUAAAUGGGAUUCUGAGGAAUGAGUGGAAGAGCCAUUUAAUCUGCUUAGCUUGUUCGGUAAUAGCCGAUCAAUACCGUGCAUUUUUGGCCACAGAAAUAAUGUAGGUCUUGCUGUGUGACGGAUGCCCUUAGAGAUUAUUAGAGAGAGAAGGAUUUUUUUCUUUUCUCUCUAGUUUUCUCGGUUUCAAAUGAGUCUUUGUGACAUUCUCCCAGUGGCUAAAAACUAGAAAGAUGAAUCCCCAACAAACGUGCAAUGCCAAUUUGCACUCUACAAAUCAGGUUGGCCCUAGGCUUCAGUGCUGCCUUGCUGGUCUUGUCAGCGUGGGGUUUUGGGUAAUUUCAUUUCUUAUGCUUUGUACUUUAUGUCUCCAAGUGGCUUCUCUUGGCCCUAGAACUUUCCAGGUUAUUUGCAUCUGGAGGUUGAGUUGCAGAUUGAGUUGAAAUAUACAUAUGAACUCAGAUGAUCUCUUCACAGUUAUAGUAACAGAUUUAUAGUGAAACAGUGUGGCAAAAUAUCUAUGAUGAAAUCAACAGAGGAAAGAUAUUCUGAUUAGUCUUUUUGUCAACCUGAUACAAUGUAUUGUUGCUUGGCAAGAAGGAACCUCAGCUGAGAAAUUGCCUCCAUCAGAUUGGCCUAUGGUCCUGUCUUGAUUUUUGAUUGGUAUGGGGAUGCCCAGCCCACUAUGGGUGGCACCAUUCCCUAAGCAGAUGGUCUUGGGCUGUCAAAGAAGUGUCUUCCUCCAUGAUUUCUGUCUUGGCUCUUGUAUGAGUCCUGCCCUGACUUCAAUGAAUGAUGGACUGUGACCUGACUAUGUAAACUGAAGUAAACCUUUUUCUUUCUAAAUUGCUUUCGGUCACAGUGUUUAUCGCAACAGAAAGGAAAAUAGGACACAAACCAGAUGAAUUGAGAUUAUGACACCUGGCUGAUGAUGCCAUCCCAGGGGACAGUGAGAACAUGAGGUAUGCACAGCCAGUUAUUAUAAUGUCAGACAUAGAUGUGGAGAUUGCUCAAUUCAGGUGUUGUAACAAAGUUGGGAUUCAAUGAAAAUCUCUCAAGAUUCCAGUGAUGUCAGCCUACUACUAAUUAGUGGCAAACCAUCAGUGGUUGAGGACUGGAAGGCCAACUGAUGAUUUAGGUCAAUGAUUGUCAUCCUGAGGAGACUUGUCCACCAAGGAAUCCUCAACAGCCUGUGGAUACACAUUGGAUUGUCCUUUCUGGAAUGGCACUCAAUAAAUCUGGCAAGUUAAGACCUGGGCAUUGCUAACUAUCCGGUUGUGUAAAUGAGCUAGUCACUCACAUGAAGGGGGAACUUAGCUCAGAGUGUCAGGAAUGCAAUCCUGAGAGCCGUAUUUUAGGUUCGUGUGUGUGUGUGUGUGUGUGUGUGUGUGUGUGUGUGUGUAUGUGUGUGAGUGUUGGCCAGAUGUCAAUGUUGAGUGUCUUUCUGGAUCAUUCUCCAUCCCAUUUUUUUUUUUUUUUUUGAGAUAGGGUCUCUCGUUGAACCUGGAGCACACUGUCCCAGAUAAACCUGCUGGCAGUCAAGUCUACCUGUCUCUACCUCCCCCUUCUUUAAUCUCACCCCCAUCCCCCUGUUGCAGGAAAUAUUAAAAAAUGAACUGGCAAGUUUCCAUAUUUGUGCCGACAACUCUCUGCCCCAGUAGCCUGGCCAGCCAUGCACUGAUGGGCAAUGGUCAACCUGUUUUUGUCUUGUGGAGAUUCUUUGUCCUGGAGCUCCCAAAAGGUCUCCUCCCAGCUCACUAGGUCCCCACUGGUGUGUCAUUACCACGCCAACCCUGUGCUUCAGCACCCCCACAGCCUUUGUAGUACCCAUCAGGCAAACUCACACUUUGCCACUGUAUUUUUCUCCUGAGAACCUAGACUAGUUGCAGCAAGAAGAAAGAUACCACACAAACUUAGUUCACAAACAAUAGAAACUCAGUUGUUGGGCACAACAACUAAAAUCCUAACUUCUAAGCUUUAUUAAAUCUAAAUCCUCCAGUGGUGAAUCCUGAUGGAUUCACCAUUGAAACUGAGAGACACUUGUAUUUACAUCUUGUCCUCAUGCUAUCCCCAUCCAAAAAGCCCUAACUCUCUCCUGUUUCCUCUCUUUGUCUGUCCAACCCAGAAGUCCCGCCUAUUCACCCAGUGCUUGGCUCCCUUUUUCAUUAGGGGAUUGGUUCACAAGAUGUCACCUGAGUGUGACUCACUUCUUCUCCACAACCCCUCCCAGGAGAGUGGAAUUAGUAUCAAAAUACAAACAGCACUAGGCCCAUCCACAACCCCCCCCACCUCGCUAUCAACGCUCAGGUUUAAUGUUGUGAUAGUUUUAGAUGUCAACUUGACACACUCUAGAAUCACCAGGGAAGGAGUCUCAAUGAGAUUGUCCAGGUUAAGCUGGAUUGUGGAUAUAUGUCUAUGGAGAAUUUUCUUGAUCGUGUUAACUGAUAUGGGAAGACUUAGCCUACUGUGGGCGGCACCAUUCCUUGGGUUUGAGUCCUGGACUCUAU
rnacentral:lncRNA from 1 species